rnacentral:rRNA from 1 species
GACAAACGCUGGCGGCGUGCUUAACACAUGCAAGUCGAACGGAAAGGCCCUGCUUGCCGGGUGCUCGAGUGGCGAACGGGUGAGUAACACGUGGGUGAUCUGCCCCUUACUUUGGGAUAAGCCUGGGAAACUGGGUCUAAUACUGGAUAGGACCAUGCUGUAGGUGGUGUGGUGGAAAGAUUAGUUUCGGUAAGGGAUGAGCUCGCGGCCUAUCAGCUUGUUGGUGGGGUAAUGGCCUACCAAGGCGUCGACGGGUAGCCGGCCUGAGAGGGUGGACGGCCACAUUGGGACUGAGAUACGGCCCAGACUCCUACGGGAGGCAGCAGUGGGGAAUAUUGCACAAUGGGCGCAAGCCUGAUGCAGCGACGCCGCGUGGGGGAUGACGGCCUUCGGGUUGUAAACUCCUUUCAGCCAUGACGAAGCCCUUGUGGUGACGGUAGUGGUAGAAGAAGCACCGGCUAACUACGUG